CACGUAGGCACCAAGCGUUGUCCGGAUUUAUUGGGCGUAAAGAGCUCGUAGGCGGUUCAGUAAGUCGGGUGUGAAAACUCUGGGCUCAACCCAGAGACGCCACCCGAUACUGCUGUGACUUGAGUACGGUAGGGGAGUGGGGAAUUCCUGGUGUAGCGGUGAAAUGCGCAGAUAUCAGGAGGAACACCAGUGGCGAAGGCGGCUCACUGGUCCGGUACUGACGCUGAGGUGCGAAAGCGUGGGGAGCAAACAGG
rnacentral:rRNA from 1 species